rnacentral:rRNA from 1 species
AUGGCGAGAAUUUUUACCCGAAACCAGUCCGUCCAACCGAUUUGGAGCCACCACUGCAUUCCACAUUUACAUGGAAUAUCCCGCUUCAAGGAACCAACUCAUUCCAUUCCACCACCUCAACCAAGCACCUCAACCAGACACACCCUUAUUCUUUCUUUGUUUAGGCUUCCCACUGGUAAUACACAACAGGUGAAAGAUGAAUUUAAGCCAGCAUCUAUUAACAAGACUCAAGUUGGCUCUCUGCAGAAGAGCAAAGAUAACCGGGUAACUGUGGAAUUUCAUAACAAUCAGCCUGGCAGGCCAAAGGUGGCAUUUGAGGGAAGGCAAGAAGAGUACAAGGAUAAUGAUGGUGUCUUGUUUUUUGAUGGUGAGACCUUUUGCCUGGGACGAUUUCACCGGGCAGUCAAGAGAUUAAGGCAUGUCCAGGUUCCGGGAGAGUCUGUAGUAAGUUCCUUGGCAGCUACAACUACUAGAAUGGGUGAAUCUCAUUCUCCUCCAUUAGCGAAAGUUGGCAAGUUGCCUGCAACAAACAAACCUUCUAUACACUCAGUUCUGACAUGGGAAGAAGAGGACAUGAGACAAUAG